UACGUAGGGUGCGAGCGUUAAUCGGAAUUACUGGGCGUAAAGCGUGCGCAGGCGGUUUUGUAAGCCAGAUGUGAAAUCCCCGGGCUUAACCUGGGAAUGGCAUUUGGGACUGCAAGGCUGGAGUGUGGCAGAGGAGACUGGAAUUCCCGGUGUAGCAGUGAAAUGCGUAGAUAUCGGGAGGAACACCAGAGGCGAAGGCGGCUACCUGGACAAUUGCUGACGCUCAGGCACGAAAGCGUGGGGAGCAAAAGGG
rnacentral:rRNA from 1 species